AAAACCCGUUGAAUUGAACAGGAAACAUUCACGGGAAAUCUGCAGGUGUCUGCAAGCAAGAGUGACGCUAGAAGGAUCUUAGUAUGCCAGCUCCCUCUUCCUCAAGGGUAGUGUCCCUGGAAUGAAGCCACCAGCAACAGGAGAGGAAACAGAUGGGGUUGUAGAAAGUAGGAGCAGCAAAAGCUUCUGAACUUAGUAAUAAGCUGCUUGCCCCGGGCUGCAUCGCGAGAGCUCAGAAGCUCAGUCAAUGCAAAACAGAAGGCACUGAGGGAAAAUUUCAGAUGAGAAUGGACGUACCCUCUCCAGAGGCAAAGAAGUUUGCAAAUUACUUUUUGAAGCCCUCUCUAUAUAAUUUUGAGGUUAAAAAUGCUUUCCUCCUGCGAAGGAGAGAUUUUAAUCUGGAUUGUAUGCUGGAGCUCAAUGAUUGAUCCAAAUCAGAGUCCAGAGGCCUCAUGGGAAUGAUGAUCGUCAGGGCUACAGUGGGGCAACUGCAGAUGGAGCUUGCCCCUCUCCUCCAUAAAUGGGGAAGAGCCUCUCACCUCCAGUGAGGUUUUGUGCAUAAGAAAGGGGAGGCUUGUUAGAGACAGCAGCUUUGAAAACUUAAUUCUCCUUGCCAAGAACUAAUGGACUAUCUUCAAUGUGCAUGAAAAUGUGUCUGCACAGUGACCAGAGAAGCCAAAAUGAGGCCUCUGCAGACCUAAUUUGGCAUCAAUUUAUCUCCAUAUGAGAAAGUCUGGUUGUACUUAUUUUACUCUCUGCUCUAACCAAGAAAAAAACAAAAACCCGGCAAAGGUUCAUUGAGACAACAGUCGGUCACUAAAAAGGAAUUUGAACCAGUCGGUCACAGAAAAGGAAUUUGAACGAAGAUAACGUAGUUACAUUUUACCCACAUGUUCCUGAGGCCAGUGUGCUAAUAGUUAACAAAUGCUAUUUAGCCCAUCACCAUUAGAUUAACAUUUAACCAAAUCAGCAUAGACUUUGUGUGACUAAAAGAAUCUACAAACACACACACACACACACACACACACACACACACAUCUUUUUUUUUUUUUUUUGAGACGGAAUCUCGCUCUGUUGCCCAGGCUGCAGUGCAGUGGCACAAUCUCGGCUCACUGCAACCUCCAUCUCCCAGGUUCAAGUAAUUCUACUGCCUCAGCCUUCUGAGUAGCUGGCAUUAUAGAUGUACGCCACCAUGCCUGGUUAAUUUUUGUAUCUUUAGUAGAGAUGGGGUUUCACCAAGUUGGCCAGGCUGGUCUCAGAACUCCUGACCUCAAGUGAUCUGCCCGCCUAGGCCUCCCAAAGUGCUGGGAUUACAGGCGUGAGCCACCACACCCAGUCACAGAUAUCUUUUGAUAUCUCAAGAACUAUGGACGGAAUUAAAGAAUUCCAAGACCAAUUAAAGAAUUUCAAGUGAGACAAUUCAUUUUCUUAUGAUCUUGGUCCUGUGUUUGGAGAGGCAAAUGUGUGUUUUAGUGAAAUGUAAAUCCAGGGAGAAGGUGCAGUAGAAGAAACUGCUCACCUGUCCUUGUAGCUAUAGCUAACCUUUAUGGAGCUCUAUCAGCUAGGCAGUAUUUACUCAUCAGUUCUGGGAGGUGAAUGCUGUUAUAAUCUCCAUUUUCCAAAUGUGACAACAGAGACACAGAGAAGUUAAGUGACUUGCCCAACAUCAAACAGCUAGUUUUACAGGACCAUGCUCCUUGUAUAAGUUGUUACACAUGGUCCCCCUAGCUUUGUGGCUCACGAUCCUGUGUGCAGAAUGCUAUUGUGGAAAGCAGGGAGAAAAUCAAGCUGCGGUAUACUGGGAGAGAAAGAACAAAGGAAAGCUCUUAAGGCGACAACAAGGACAAUGUCUCCAAGGACAGUGCAAUUUCCCAUCAGUGAGGUACUGGUCAGGCUCCCCAGCCUCAGAGGCCCAUCCAGGGUUUCUUCGCUGCCAGAGUCAUGCUGUUCAACUGCUCGUAGGGGUGCUUCAGCCCUGGAAAGGAGUCCAGGCGGUAGGGCUGCCAGAGACCUGGCUGGUCUAUCCAAAGACAAAGGAGGAUGCCAUUCCUCUGUGAGGUGGGGAGGAGCAGAUGUUUUGCCUCUAGUGAGACAAUAAUUUACUUCCCUAUUAUUGUUUGACUUUGCCUUGUUUCUGCCUAUGAAUUACUAACAGAGGCUUGCAGCACUAUCUAUGGGGCCUGAAACAUACAAUAAGGGGCCAGAAGGCCUUGAGAGAGCUGAAAAAGAAAUCAUCACCCUAGCCUCACCCAGUCACCUGUCUCCAGGCAAAAUAAUUCCCUGUCCUUCAUGAUGAUUCGGAGAAGACCAGCCCCACUCAGCUGCUGUUGCCAACCAACCAUAGUUCUUGUUACCCUGGGCCACAAGUGCCUUAUCCACUAGAUUGAGAAAGUUAAUGCCAGAGGGAAGUGAGAAACUAACUAUGGAAGAGUGGACCCAUGUUGCAAAAACAAAGUUCUAGGGAAAGACGUGAACAAAGAUGGGUGAGUAUGAAUGGGGUCUGACUGGAACAUGGCAGAGAAGAAAUUCAACUAUGCAAUGAGAUAAAGCAAAGAUUCUAAUGAAAGACUGAUGUGGUCAUAAACAAACAAACAAACAAACAAAAAACAGGUGCCCAAUGAAUACUUCUAACUGAAAAAAAAUCUGAAGAUGCUGGUCAGAGGAUCCUCAGGAGGGAAAAAACCUGACUUUCCUUGGUAAGGGCCUGUGGAGCAAGUAAUUGCAGCUUGAACCAUGGGGUCUCCUUGGAGCUGCGGGCACCAAGCAUCAGAUCUGAACACAGAAGCUGGGCCAGUUUGUUAAGUAGGGUGCGGCAGAGACUGUUAGUUGCCUAUCCAAUAUCCAGUCUCCUCUUUUUCCUUGGUCACAUAACCCAGAUUUUAAUCUGGGUGGCAGUGUGCUCAGCUGAAAGACUACACUUGGAAGCCACAUUUGCAGCCUGAGGGCCAGUGAGACAUAAGCAGAAGUUGUUGGGUAGUCUUCUGUGGACUCCUUAAGAGGGAAUAGACUACUCACAGACUCCUUUUUCUCCUUCUCCCUUCCUUCCAUGCCUUUCUGGAACAGGAAGUUUAACAUGAUGAUUGGCGCUCUAGCUGUCACAUUGGACCAUGAAGUUAUGUUGUUUUUUUUUUUAAUUAAUUUUUAGUUUUAUUUCAGUGGUUUUGGGGGUAUAGGUGGUUUUUGAUUCCACG
rnacentral:lncRNA from 10 species